CCAGACUCCUACGGGAGGCAGCAGUGGGGAAUAUUGCACAAUGGGGGAAACCCUGAUGCAGCGACGCCGCGUGAGCGAAGAAGUACCUCGGUAUGUAAAGCUCUAUCAGCAGGGAAGAAGAUGACGGUACCUGACCAAGAAGCUCCGGCUAAAUACGUGCCAGCAGCCGCGGUAAUACGUAUGGAGCAAGCGUUAUCCGGAUUUACUGGGUGUAAAGGGCGUGUAGCCGGGCCGGCAAGUCAGAUGUGAAAUCCCAAGGCGCAACCUUGGAACUGCAUUUGAAACUGUUGGUCUUGAGUAUCGGAGAGGCAGGCGGAAUUCCUAGUGUAGCGGUGAAAUGCGUAGAUAUUAGGAGGAACACCGGUGGCGAAGGCGGCCUGCUGGACUGCAACUGACGUUGAGGCCCGAAAGCGUGGGGAGCAAACAGGAUUAGAUACCCCCGUAUU
rnacentral:rRNA from 1 species